AUCCUGGCUCAGGACGAACGCUGGCGGCGUGCCUAAUACAUGCAAGUCGAACGCUUCUUUUUCCACCGGAGCUUGCUCCACCGGAAAAAGAGGAGUGGCGAACGGGUGAGUAACACGUGGGUAACCUGCCCAUCAGAAGGGGAUAACACUUGGAAACAGGUGCUAAUACCGUAUAACAAUCAAAACCGCAUGGUUUUGAUUUGAAAGGCGCUUUCGGGUGUCGCUGAUGGAUGGACCCGCGGUGCAUUAGCUAGUUGGUGAGGUAACGGCUCACCAAGGCCACGAUGCAUAGCCGACCUGAGAGGGUGAUCGGCCACA
rnacentral:rRNA from 1 species